AACAUCGCGCACCUGCGGGAACCUGCGGAAGGAUCAUUAUCGAGUUUACAACUCCCAAACCCCUGUGAACAUACCAAUCGUUGCCUCGGCGGGACCGCCCCCGGCGCCCCCGGGCCCGGACCCAGGCGCCCGCCGGAGGACCCCCAAACUCACUUGAUUCCACGGUGUAUCUUCUGAGUGACACAAGCAAAUAAAAUCAAAACUUUUAACAACGGAUCU
rnacentral:misc_RNA from 1 species